ACAAGGGCAGGGGAAGCUGCAUGCCUGGUCCCAUGUGCCGUGUGCCUUCGGGGUGUUUUUUGAGAGGGACUUAUAAUCGUGAUAGGAUUUUAAUAGAGCAGCAGCAACACCAGCAAGCAUUAGAGGAAAAGUUUGGGAGUGAGGGAGGGGGGACGGCUCCAUCUCCAAGUUUAACAGUCUCUGACCAGGUUCAAGACCAACCAGGCUGGCCCAGACUGCUUCGGGAGAGGUUCCCUUGCCAUCCUCACCACUCCAGGGCUCCAUUAUCCCGACCCUCUGGUGCGGCCAGAAGCCUCUCUCUGCCCCCUUUUCCACUCCUCAGGGAUGCAGCUAUUUCUGUAUUACAGGGAAGUUUUAGGAGAAGAAUCCAUUAGGGGCUCAUUUACAGCCAUGCCCUUAGGCAGACACAAACCCAGCUUCACUGAGAUGAUAGAUUAAUCCAUCAACCUACUUCACCGCUGGCCUGUUCUGUCUGGAAACAGCAUUACUGAGCACAAGUACCUAACACCGGGCCGUGCUUGCCUUCUCACUCCCUUCACAGCCUGAAGAUGCUCAAGCACUCCUGGGCCCCCUGUGACAGGUAGAGCCCCAAGGAAAGCCAUGCAGCCCUGUGUCCACGUGCCCCCACCGCUGUGCUAAAGGAAGAAGGUCUCUUCCACGCACUGAUCUGCAGCUUUUGCAAACACGUGGGAUAGAUCCUCACAGCCAGAAGUGAGCGAUGAAGUUUGGAUGCUGUUUUGUCUUUUUUCUUUUCACAGAGAUGCUCAAACCCGGGGCUGUGGCUUGCCUUCCUGCAAGGAACUAGCAACAGAUUCAGAUCCCAUCUGAACUUCUUUCCACUUCCAGUUUUGAUCCAUCUCUAGACGUGAAGCAGGAGCCAUUUGUGUUAAGGGAAUAAUGUAAGAACAACUUCCUGGACAAGAUCAAAAGUCCAUCUAGACCAGUCCCCUGCACAGCCAGCGUGGGAACAAGACAGGCAUGUGGCUGCAAACCCUUCCUGAGUCUGACAAUAUGCAGCUUAGGGCCUUCCUGAGACAGAAGAUGUAUCUUGGUCAUCAUCUAGCAGUGACGGGCUUCCAGACUCUAGGUCUCACCAAAAUGCAAUGACAGUCUUCUCUGGACAACCAUGGCUUCACAGCGUUUGUGUCUCUGUGUCAGAGGAAAUAUUCUUGCCUUAUUCUGGAAAGUGGUUUAAUCCCCUACCAAGAAACAGAAAUGGGAGGGAGCUGCAUGGACAGAAAGAGAAGCCCAUUUCUGCAAAAUUGCUCCUGCUUCCCUCCCUCGCCUCUCCUGCCCAGGCCCGGUCAGGGAUGAACAGGGAACUUCUUGGGUGACAGUUGAGGCACUUGUGGGGACACAGCUCACAUGUGGUCACCUCAACACCCCAGCAAGCACCGGGGAGCGACAUCACCAAGGGCUGCCCAUGCCUGCAAGGCACCGUGCCAGGCUUCCCCUGGAGCUCCCCCGUACUCCCACCGCUGCCCUCUGAGCGUGAGGGGGGCAGGUAGGGCCUGCUGUAAGCCUCAGGCUGCGCUUCAGGCAUGUCCCGUAGCCCAUAGCACUCUUCCAGACUCCACUCCUCCAUCACAGGCCUGUUGCCUCAUCUUUAAAUCCAGAGCAAAGCCUGGUGAAUCAUAGGCACCCCAAACAUGAAGCAGCAGCAAACCUGCAGAGUGCCAAGAAAACCUAACAGGCGUGAGGGUCGUGACCAGAAAUCCCUCUCUCCCUCCCUUUUACAUCACUGCCAAUUGAAGAUUCAUUUAGGAGCAAACGAAAGCACCAGAGAGACCCCAGCGUGGUGCUCCCCUGGCGAUCACGGGCUCCAGCGUGUCAGGAAGCUGGGCUGCAUGCAUGCAUCAUCCCGAUAAAUGCCGCCCCUCCCAAGGCAGACCUUUCCUGGGCAAGCAGGAGCCGGCAUCCAGGAGAAGCAGCCUCCCCGCAGGCAGUGCUAGAUCGUAUCCAAGACCGAUCCCCUCGGAGCAGGGACUUUUUCCAUGUUUGCAAAGGUCCAGCUGAACAGGACCCUGCUUGGAGGCCUUUAGAUGCCACCUGCAACACCAAGAGCGGUACCACUGACCAGCACAGCCCACUGCGAGGUGUCACCAUGGGGAGGAGAAAGCGAGGAAGGCCACACUGGAAGCACGUUUAAAGGUUUCACAAGCGCUCGCAUAAAGCAUUUAAAGUGCAAUAAAAACGGCGAGUGAGUUAUCGGGAUCUGGUCUGGAGAAGGAAGCUAAUGCCUUGCCCUACAGAUGUUCAUGAAAUAUUAAGUGACUUUAAAAGGAGGAGGAAAAGGCUGCAGUAAAAUAGACCACUGUUAAAAGCAGGUCCAGCUGCCGCUGGCCUCUGACAACCAGCCAGUGAAAUGCAUGAUUUCUUUAAGACUCAUUAACUCCCAUGCUAGUGUUAAUGGUUCUGUAGCCGUUCAUUCCUCUUCCUCUCCACCAUGUGAAGGGCUUUAUUUAGAAGCCAAGAUCCGAGUCCGGCUCCACAAAUAACAUGUGCCUGCAUGUAAUUAGGCUUUAGCAGAGCAAAACUCCCCAGCCAAGGGAGAGUGGAAAUCCAGGUCACAGUGGAAAUCCUGCAGCCACCUCCUCCUGCCUUGCUGAAAGUAAAUGAAGUCAGGGAAUUUGGUGCGGUGGCACGGACUUCCCAGGCCCAUAUUCCACUGGGAGAUGGAGGUAAACUGGGCAGAGGGGAUCCUGCUGUGGGACAGCUCAUUGAAGGACACGGGCUGGCUGCCUUGGCGUGCAAGCCAGAGACAGCUGAGGGACGCGUUGCCCAGCGCCUCACCCCAUCCUCCAGCCGUACUUGCACCAGCGCCUGUUCGGACGGUGCCUUUUCCCCCCCCAUUUCCAGGCUCGGGCAGCGGUGGGGAGACCAGAGCCCGGUGGGACAGGCAUCGUGGCAGGGGUGCACAGCCAGAUCUGGGAAGGGAGGGAGCUCGCAGAGCACCUGCCUUCAAAAAAUGAGCACAGAGCAGGCGAUUUCCAGGCUGGUGUGGAAGCAGCUUUCCUGGGAGCACCCAGGAGCUGGCAGCCGUGCUGUCCGUCUGCCUGGCUGCAGCGUGAGCUGCACCCGACGUGUCGAGCCUGCGUGAUACGAGGGAGCAAUAAACCAUCGGCACCACUCUAUUUUGUGUCGAGCCACUCCGCUCAUCGCCAAACGGCUCUGAGACAAAGAUGAUAAACAUUCAAAACUGAUGUUUUGACAUUUGCUUGUCCCAAAUAGGGACAGAAAAUUCAGAAUACCAGGGGGAAAAAAUUGCAGAGCUGAACGUCAUAGAAUUUCCAUUCGGAAAUGUCUAAACAGCUCAUUUUCAUGCAGCAAGACAUCAACCUGCUUCUGCCCACGCUGCCAUUCAGCCCCGGGAAACCUGCGGGACAAGCACCAGGUUCCCAGUCUGGGCUGGUGUCCCACAUCGUGAUGCUGAGCAGCUCCCUGGAUGCCGAGCUGAAGAGGAGAGGUGGUUUAGCCAAAGAGGAUACCCGGGUCAGGGACAUCUACCUGGAGGCAUGCAAAUAACUGAUUUCUCAUUUGGCCACAGUAUCAAAUAAUAAGAAAACCAUUUCGAUAAGAACAGAAUCUAUUCUUUGGGUUGAAAUGCAAUGAUUAAUUUGUUCUCUUUAUGUACCUAUUUUAGUGAAAAGGAAUUAAGUGUAAAAAUAAAAAACCUUUUGAAUCAA